UCCCAUUAGUAGUAAAGUGAAGUGAUUCCUCAAGUGGAUCUGUUUCCAUCCAAAAUAUAAUGUCAUUAUAGUUUAUUCCACUACAUUCCUUUUACAAUAAUUCAAUCAUAACCUUAACCUCUUUGAAGACCACAACAGAGAAAGUAUAAUUUUACUUUUCUUUACUGGAACUGAAAAGUAUCCCAAAAGCUUAUUUAGUACCUCAGCUAUUGAUUUUUUUUCACU
rnacentral:lncRNA from 1 species